AAACAUAGCCUUUAGCAAAACAAGUAUUAAAGGUAACGCCUGCCCAGUGAAAUUUUAACGGCCGCGGUAUCCUAACCGUGCAAAGGUAGCGUAAUCACUUGUCUUAUAAAUCAAGACCUGUAUGAAUGGCUAUAUGAGUAUUUAACUGUCUCCUUUAACCAAUCAGUGAAACUGAUCUUUCAGUACAAAAGCUGAAAUACUAACAUAAGACGAGAAGACCCCGUGGAGCUUUAAAUUUUUGACAAAGAACCACUAACAGUGCUUAUGAUAAAAAAUUUUUAGUUGGGGCGACUUUGGAGUAAAAUUCAACCUCCAAGAAAAGGCACCGCCUAACUUUAGGCCAACAAGCCAAACUACAUAGACCCAGUAUAAUGUACUGAUCAACGAACCAAGUUACCCCAGGGAUAACAGCGCCAUCUUCUUCAAGAGUUCAUAUCGACAAGAAGGUUUACGACCUCGAUGUUGGAUCAGGACACCCAAAUGGUGUAGCCGCUAUUAAAGGUUCGUUUGUUCAACGAUUAACAGUCCUACGUGAU
rnacentral:rRNA from 1 species